UAGGGAAUCUUCCGCAAUGGACGCAAGUCUGACGGAGCAACGCCGCGUGAGUGAAGAAGGAUUUCGGUUCGUAAAACUCUGUUGUUAGAGAAGAACAGCGCAUAGAGUAACUGUUAUGCGUGUGACGGUAUCUAACCAGAAAGCCACGGCUAACUACGUGCCAGCAGCCGCGGUAAUACGUAGGUGGCAAGCGUUGUCCGGAUUUAUUGGGCGUAAAGCGAGCGCAGGCGGUCAAUUAAGUCUGAUGUGAAAGCCCCCGGCUCAACCGGGGAGGGUCAUUGGAAACUGGUUGACUUGAGUGCAGAAGAGGAGAGUGGAAUUCCAUGUGUAGCGGUGAAAUGCGUAGAUAUAUGGAGGAACACCAGUGGCGAAGGCGACUCUCUGGUCUGUUACUGACGCUGAGAAGCGAAAGCGUGGGGAGCGAACAGG
rnacentral:rRNA from 1 species